rnacentral:piRNA from 1 species
UGGGAACGAAAAGACACUCGUGGAGGCGUC